CAAAGAGGCUGGGAGGAGAAGCUGCAGUUAGAUUGUUUGCCAAGCUUGGACUCCUGGAAGCUUCUGUUGACCAUGCUGCAGACAAUUGAAGCGGAGACAAGAAUGAAGAAAUUCAGUAAAGGAAGAUUCUUGGAAGGACAUGAUAGAGUGGUAAGAAUAAAUUAACUGCUCCUAUUCCCUAGGGGCUCAGAACAGUGUUUUAGUUUUGGCCAUUCUAAGAAGGGUAGAGAGGGAACAGAUUGUAAAGCUAGCACUGCAGACUGUAGAACUGAGUAGUUCUAGCUACUUGGGAGGCUUAGGCAGGAGAACUGCUUGAACCUGGGAGAUAGAGGCUGCGGUGAGCCAAGAUCGUGCCACUGCACUUCAGCCUGGGCAACAGAGUGAGACUCUGUCUCACAAAAUAAAAUAAAAAGUUAACAGGAAGAAGGCUACUGGACUAUAGGAGAGGUGGUAGACUGCUUAUGAAAGAAAAAAGUAAUCAAAGGCCCAAGAAGGAAGUUUGUCUAGAAAAGUAAGGACUAACCCAAGAGGAGGAAAUUAGGGAAAGGGUGAAAUUAACUAUGUAAACCUCUCUGAAAGCUCUCCCCAAACCUUUGGAAACCUAGCUCACCAGUACACUUUCCUCCCUUGAGUUUACACCCCCUUUUCCCUUUUUCCCUCAUAUCCCCCCCUGCAUCCUGUCCCUCUUUUCUGUUACCUGUUCCAAAAAGAUCAUUUCGACCAGUUUGUGGUUCUUUCUCAGCAUGGCUAAACGUGCUUGGACCUGAAAGUCUGUCCCUUCUCCACCUGUGGGGAAAAAGGAGGCUCUGGUUUUUCUGUAGUUGCUGUAUUCUAUCUUGUGAGGGCUGAGAUUAGAAGGCCAGAUGGAUGUAGACAAUAAAAGACCUUAUGAAUCAACAGGAAGUUAAAAAAGAAAGAAAGAAAGAAAAGAUUUGGGGAGGUAAAACACUUCAUAGAGCUUAAAGGUUUGAGGUUCAGCGACUCUGAAAUGGUCUGACUGGAGGGUAGAGGUGGAGUGAGCAGGGUAAAGGAAACUAGGGAUGGCUGGAAAGCUAGGAAUCAUGGGGCUGAAUACUACAAGAAAUCAGUUUGGGAGACGGAAUGAAUCAGGAGCAUAAUACUUGCAUAUUCCCGGGAUACUUGAUCUGCAAUCUCAUUGGUCUCAUGCAGGAAUUGAGCUUUUGCUACUUGACCCAAAGCAGAAAAGCACCUAUGGCAUGGAAGCAAAGACAUUAAUAUAAUAUUAUUACAGAAUCGUCAUUAAUUCAUUGGUUCAGCAAAUACAAAUUGAUGUGCAUCUAUCAUGUGCCAGGCAGUGUGCUUGUCACUGGAGACACUUAGGAGAAAGGGAAGAUGAGGGCCUUACUCUCAAGAGAACUUCCAUUCUAAUAGAGACAAAUAAUUAGUAGAAGUAGAGAUAAUAAAAAAUAAAGUAAUAUAAUACAAUAGAUCAAGCUUGCUCAACCCAUGGCCCAAGAUGGCUCUGAAUGUGGCCCAACUCAAAUUCAUAAACCUUCUUAAGAUAUUAUGAGAUUUUUUUAUUCUCUUCCUUUUUUUUUUUUUAAGCUCAUCAGCUAUCAUUAGUGUUAGUGUAUUUUAUGUGUGGCCAGAGGUGAUAAUUCUUCCAAUGUGGCCCAGGGAAGCCAAAAGAUUGGAUGCCCCUGUUAUAAUGACUGAAGGGGCCACUUUAGUUGGUAGUUGGAGAAGGUCUCCCUGAUGAACUAAUUUGAGCUGAAACCCGAAUACAAGAAAAAGCCAGUCAUGGCAGGAUGGGCAAAAGUCAUUCCUGAGAGGGAACAGCUAGUGUAAAGGCCCUGUAGCAGGUAUGAGCUUAGCAUGCUCACAGAGUCUGAAGGAUGCCAGUGUGGUUGGAGACUAAUGGGCAAGUAGGGGGCUGGCAUGAGAAGGAAGCAGAGGCCAAAAACUUUCAGGGCUGAGGCCACACAAGGAGUCUGGGUUUCUCACCAAGUAAAAGAGUAGGCUAUUGGAAUAUUCCCGUCAUGAAAAAGACUCAAUCUGUGUUUUAAAAAAUUACCUCAGCUGCUCUGAAUGAACAGAUGGUAGGGGUACAAGAAACAGUAUCAGCAAGACUAAUUAAGAGGCUGUGCAAUAUUGCAGGUAGGAGAUGGCGGUGGUCUGCACUAGGAUGGAGACAUCAGGAUGUGUUUUGAAGAGAGUCUUUAGGACUUGCUGAUAAUCUAUCUACAUGUGGGAAGUAUGGGGAAAAUGGGAUCAAGGAUGAUUCCCACCUGCUGCCAGGUGACAUUUAUUGAGCACUUUGCACAGAUUCUCUCAUCACUCCUUCUCUACCAAUACCCUUACCAUCUUCUUUAUCAUCAGAUGAGGCAAAUACUAUUAUUAUCCCUAUUGUACACAGAGAAAAUAAAGAAGCCAAGGUUUGGAAAGGUCAAAUAACCUCUCUAAGGUUAUACAAGUUGGUAAUUGGAACCAAGAUUUGAACUCAAGGAGUCUGGAGUCCCAAGAUUGUCCUAUUAACUACACUCCGAUACUAAACCUGGAUUAUACACAUAUGCAUGGGUUGAAGGGUAUGAAUAGUAAAACAUGUUAAGGGGAACCUAGUCAAGAAGGGGCAGUAAAAAUAAUAGAAGACAUACUCUUGUUUUUUGACUUUUUUUUUUUCUGAGAUAAGGUCUCACUCUGUCACCCAGGCUGGAGUGCAGUGGUAUGACCUCAGCUCACUGCAACCUUCGCCUCCUGGGUUCAAGCGAAUCCUGUGCCUCAGCCUGCUGAGUAGCUGAGACCACAGGUGCACACCACCCUGCCUGGCUAAUUUCUGCAUUUUUAGAAAAGUUGGGGUUUUGCCAUGUUGGCCAGUCUGGUCUCAAACUCCUGGAUCAAGUGAUCCCCCUGCCUCGGCCUCUUAAAGUGCUAGGAUUACAGGCGUGAGCCACUGUGCCUGGCCAAGACAUACCGUUAUAAUCUAGGAUGGGAGAGUGUUUGGAAUAUUGUAAUGCAGAAAGGCUCUAUGUUAUUUGCUGGCAGUGGGAAGGGAAGCAGAGCCUUAACACUGGGUUGGAGCGGCCCACAGGGAAAAUACUCAUGGUCAUCCCUCCUAGCUGCCUGGACCUCUGUUCUACACCUCACCUCUCCGCAAUGUGUAGUUGCCUUGCUUCUAGCGCCAGUUGACACAAGGUUUUCCACAGUGCCUCUGUUUCUGGGGUCAUUUCCAGAGUCUCUAAGAAGGCUGUUGCCCUGGAAAGGGAAGGAAGCAAAGCAAAAGGAAUGAGGGACGAGUCAGGAAGACGCAGCAGAAGACUGGUGAUGGGGCAGGGGGAGGGGGAAGGGCCAUUUUUGUCUCAUCUCCUCCCAGGAUCACUGGAUCCUUAUCAGUUUUGGCCAGUUUUACACCCCACCCCAGGUCCUUCCCUCUCAGAACCAGACUCUCCCACCACCUCACUGGUUAUUGUCCAGCCUCUCACUGGGUGUAGUUGCCAUCAUCAAUGGCUGUUCCAAACUCCAUGAGGCCUUCAUCCAGUGUGUAGGCAACAGUAGUCACACCUUCCAUCACCAGCACCUCGGUCUUUCCCCCACCCCGCUCCAGACCUAUAACAUCACCCUGUAAAAGGUCAUCCCCGACCUCACCCCAAUUUCAGGUUAGUUUCCACUGAAUCAAUUAUAGAACAGACUCGCCCUCAUCCAACCCAGUGCUCAAGAGUCACAGCAGUCCUGAUUUUCCUAACAUUUUAGUCUCUCUCAAGCAUUAAAAACAUACUUUAUUUGUAGUGAUAUCCUUGGGUUAAAGUGUACUCCUAACCGUGACAGCACCAAUUCCUAGAGGCACAAAGUGUGGCAUCCACUUCUGCUUACAGCAGUGCCGUAAGAGUAGAUAUUCUUAAGGGUUCUCUUGUUAAAAUACAGCUUGAACCUAGAACAUACUUUUUAAUGCAUUGCUUGCGCUUACUUGAAGAAAUCACUAAGAAUGUUCCCUACCCAUAUCCUACCCUUCUCUCUCAAAAAAGGACAGACAGAAAGAAAAAGGUCAAUAAGCGAAAUCCUGAGCAAGAAAAACAGGAAAGUGAGCAAAUGGGAAAGGUACAGUUGUCCUGAACGCAAAUGGAGUGUCAGGAGAAUAAACCUCAGGCCCUCCAGCGGGAUGGGGAGGCUGAAUUUGAGAGUCCUUAAUUGAACCUGGGACCCACUCUUUAGUAAAGGCGACAAAAGUAAUGGUUACAGAUCAUUAAUAUGCCUGAUUCCUGCAGAAGCAAGACCAGAUCAUCACUGGAGAACAUAUCCAUCUUAGGCCCUCAGGAUUCCAAAAGAACACAUUCAAAGUAACUUGAGCUCACAAUUAAAAAAAAAAUACAAGGAAGCAAACCACUAGGAUAGAGUAAAUAAUAACUGAAAACAACAGUUUUAGACCUUCGAGAAUUUCAGAUAUUAAAAAUAACAGUUAAAGGCUGGGCUUGGUGGCUCAUGCCUAUAAACCCAGCACUUGGCGAGACCAAGGUGGGAGGAUCACUUGAGCUCAGGAGUUUAAGACCAGCCUGGGCAACAUAGCAAGACCUCAGCUCUACUGAAAAAAAAAAAAAAAAAAAGAGCCAGGUGUGGUUGCAGGUACUGGUAGUCCCAGCUACUCAGGAAGCUGAGGUGAGAGGAUCAUUUGAGCCCAGGAGUUUGAGCCUGCAGUGAGCUAUGAUCAUGCCACUGCACAGCCUGGAUGACAGAGUGGGACACUGUUUUUUGUUUUGUUUUGUUUUAAAAAGCCUAGUUAUGGAAUUUAAAAUGAUUAUGAAAUACCUAAAUAUCUCAAAAGAUGAAAUGAAAAUUUAAGCAAGGAAUAAGAAAUUAUCCAUAUGGCCAGACAGACUGGAGAAAUCAAAUAAGAAAAAUUUAAUGUUUGAGGUACAAAACUCAAUGGACAGUUUAAAUAGCAGAUUAGACAAUGAUGAAAAGCAAAUUAAUGAAUCAAAACAGAUCUAAAGAAAUUACCCAGAGGCCAGAUGCAGUGGCUCACACCUGUAAUCCCAGCACUUUGGGAGGCUGAGGAGGGUGGAUCAUGAGGUCAGGAGUUCUAGACCAUCCUGGCCAACAUAGUGAAACCCCAUCUCUACUAAAAAUACAAAAGUUAGCUGAGCAUGGUGACACAUUCCUGUAACCCCAGCUACUCGGGAGGCUGAGGUAGGAGAAUUGUUUUAACCAGGGAGUUGGAGGUUGCAGUGAGCUGAGAUCGUGCCUCUGCACUCCAGCCUGGGCAACAGAGCAAGACGCUGUCUCAAAAAAAAAAAAAAAGCUGAAUUAAAGAAGUUAAGUAAGGCCACAUGGUGGUACAUGCCUGUAACCCGUGUACUUUGGGAGGCCAGAAUGGGAGUAUUACUUGAGCUUAGGAGUUUUAGACCACCCUGGGAAACAUGAUGAGACCUUGUCUCUACAAAAAAUUUAAAAAUUAGCCAGGUGUGGUAGCAUGCACCUGUGCUCACAGCUACUCAGGAAGCUGAAGUAGGAGGAUUGCUUGAGCCCAGGAGGUUGAGACUGCAGUAAGCUGUGAUCACACCACUGCACUCCAGCCUGGACAACACAGUGAGACCUUGUCUCAAAAAAAAAUAAAAUAAAAAGGAAGAGAGAAAUGGAUUGCCCAAGUUUUCAUAGGUAGAAUAUACUCACGUGGAGGAAUUCCAGCUCAGGCAGUCGGAUUCUAGCACCUCUUACUAUACUCUGUGUAGUUACUGUUUUGACCCAUAUGGGAUCAGAUACAAGGACUUUGAAAGGGGCCUACCUACAGCCUGUCUCCUAGUCAUAAACUGAGGCAGGAGUUAGAUGGUAAGGUGGUCAAGGCUAAAGUCUGUGGCCAGGGGCAGAGGUAAUGAGGGCCUCAGCAGCCCUGUGCUCUGGCAUAUUCAUACUAUGCCAUUUAUUUAAUAUUGCUUAUUUAUGCCAGUGCAGUGGCUCACGCCUGUAAUCCCACCACUUUGGGAGGCUGAGGCAGGUGGAUCACGAGGUCAGUAGUUCGAGAUCAACCUGACCAAGAUGGUGGAAACUUGUAUCUACUAAAAAUACAAAAAAAUGCCGGGCGCAGUGGCGCGUGCCUGUAGUCCCAGCUAGUUGGGAGGCUGAGGUGGGAGGAUUGCUUGAGCCCAGGAGUUCUGGGCUGUCUGCACUAAGCCCAGAACUCCUGCACUAAGUUCAGCAUCAAUAUGGUGACCUCCAGGGAGUAGAGGACCACCAGGUUGCUUAAGGAGGGGUGAACUGGCCCAGGUUGGAAACGGAGCAGGUCAAAACUCCCGUGCUGAUCAGUAGUGGGAUCAUGCCUGUGAAUAACCAUUGCACUCCAGCCUGAGUAACACAGUGAGGCCCCAUCUCUAAAAAAAAAAUACAAAAAAUUAGCCGGGGCAUGGUGGCAUACACCUGUAAUACCAGCUACUCAGGAGGCUGAGGCAGAAGAAUUGCUUGAACCCUGGAGGCGGAGGUUGCAGUAAGCCAAGAUCAUGCCACUGCACUCCAGCCUGGGUGACAGCGAGACUCUGUCUCGAAAAAGAAUUUCUUAUUUAUUAAUUAUUUAUUGAUUAAAUAGGAGGCUGGUCUCAAACUCCUGAGCUCAAGUGACUUGUCUGCCUCAUGCUCCCAGAGCACUAGGCUUACUGGUGUAAUCCACCAUGCCCAUCCAAUAUUGCAUUUUUAAAACAACCAAUAUCCCCCUGUAAUUGAUAUCAGUUCUACUAUUUGUGAGGCAUUAUUUUCCUCAAAAACGAAAUUGUCUUUGCAAUGCCAUCAGACAGAAUUGGAGAGAGAAGGGGAGAAAAAACAACAUAUUGUCUUUUGGUCUGAGCUUAUGUUCUAAAUUUUUUUCUAGCUUGUUGCUGUUAAAUGUCUUUCCUAAAAUUAUGGAGAUCAUAGAUAGUAGUCAAUUUUUAAAAAUGUGUUUACUGGCUAAGUGCUAUAGUUCAUAGCUGUAAUCCCAGUACUUUGGGAGGUGGAGGCAGGAGGGUCACUUGAGGCCAGGAAUUGGAGACCAGCUUAGGCAACAGGGUGAGACUUCAUCUCUAUAAAAAACUAGAAAAUUAGCUGGGUGUGAUGGCAUGCACCUGUAGUCCCAGCUACUUGGGAGGCUGAGGAGGCAGGAUGACUUGAGCCCAGAAGUUCGAGGCUUCAGUGAGCUUUGAUCAUGUCACUGCAUUCCAGUCUGGGUGACAGAGUGAGACCCUGUUUAAAAAUGAAACAAACUAAGCACAAAAUGUGUUUACUUACAUAAAUAAAUAGUUGAACAACUUAGGUCAGUGAUCUGUCUGUUAAAAAAAAUUGUGUUUGUGUGUAUUUUUUUUAAAGCCAGUGUCUUGCCCAGGUUAGAGUGCAGUGGCUAUUCACAGUCAUGAUUACCAUGCACAGCCUCAAACUCCUGGCCCCAAGAGAUCCUCCCACCUCAGCCUCCUGAGUGGCUGGGCCUCCAGACACACACCACCACUACUGACAAAAAAAAAAAUUAAUUUGUCCAUGAUAUCCAAAAGUUUGUGGACCACUGUGCCAGGCAUUCUUCACUGAGUUAAAAACACAAUGGUGAGUAAUACAGCAUUCUAAUUUUGAAUGUUGGCAAUGGAUACCAGCCUUGAAUCCAAACGGGAGCCAGACUACCAAAUAGGUACUGUGCUUUAUCUUGAUUGUGAAUGUGAGAAAAUGGACUUUUAUGGGAGCUAUGUUGCCCUAACAAAAUAGGCUCUGAGACUGUCGAGGUCUCAAGUAAGCAUUACUGAUCACUGGUCAAAAAAUUGCUCAUGGAAUCGAAAAUAGAAUGAUAGUUACCAGGGGUUGGGGAGAGGGGAAAAGGGAAGUGGUUGGAAGUUGUUCUUUAAUGGAUAUACAGUUUCAGUUUUGCAAAAUGAAAAACGUGUGGAGAUCUAUUGUACAACAAUGUGAAUAUACUUCACGCUAUUAAACUGUAUACUUAAAAAUGAUUUAAAAAAUUUUUUUAAAAAAUUAAGGCUCUGGGCAGUGGCUCAUGCCUGUAAUCCCAGCACUUUGGGAGGCUGAAUUUGGCAGAUCAUGAGGUCAGUAGAUCAAGACCAUCCUGGCCAACAUGGUGAAACCCCAUCUGUACUAAAAAUACAAAAAUUAACUGUGUGUGGUGGCACACACCUCUAGUCCCAGCUACUUGGGAGGCUGAGGCAGGAGAAUCACUUGAACCCAGGAGGCAGAGGUUGUAGUGAGUGGAUAUUGCACCACUGCACUCCAGCCUGGGAGACAAGGUGAGACUGUCUCAAAAAAAAAGGAAGAGUCUUGUUUUUUUUAUAAUUCCCAACUCCAGUCCCACUACCCUUAGAUAUUUACUUUUAUCUAGAAAUUGUUGUACCUACCAGCAUGGAUGCAGAGUAGGCUAGCAUGUGGAAGUCCAUUAGAGGGUGCCUUCAGGAUCAACACCUGUGGGGGAAGUGAAGGAAGCAGGACUGGGCAGAGGGACAAGUUGGAGUCUGCUACUCUUUCAGCAGAUGUUUCAGCCGACUCCAUGGGGAGCUCUGAAGCUGGGCUAGCACUUCAGGGUCAUCUGAGUCAAGGUGAGGUGGCCAGGCCUUUAUACCCCAACAUAUCAGCUGCCCUGAGAAGUGACCCUGGGUGCUCGUGCUUGCGCGCGCACGCUCUCGCGCUCCCUCUCUCUCUCUCUCUCUCUCUCUCGCUGUUGUUACCCAGACUGGAGUGCAAUGGCACGCUCUCAGCUCACUGCAACCUCCGCCUUCUGGGUUCAACCAGUUCUCCUGCCUCAGCCUCCCGAGUAGCUGGGACCACAGGCGUGCACCACCAUGCCCAGCUAAUUUUUGUAUUUUUAGCAGAGAUGGGGUUUCAUCUUGUUGGCCAGGAUGGUCUCGAUCUCUUGACCUCAUGAUCCACCCGCCUCGGCCUCCCAAAGUGCUGGGAUUAUAGGUGUGAGCCACCACGCCCGGCCUUAAAUUUUUAAUAGAGAUGGGAUUUCACCAGAUUGGCCAGACUGGUCUUAAACUCCUGACUUCAUGUGAUCUGUUUGCCUUGGCCUCCCAAAGUGCUGGGAUGAUGUUCACUUUUCUGAUUUUCUGAUGAUCUUGGGAAUAUCCCAUCUAUAUAAGUACGUAUUUAUUUCUUAUGUAAGUCAAUCAAAAAAAUACUCCUUUAAUUUAAAAGACUUCAUAAUGUAAUAUUUUGAUACCCCCGGGAGAUAGGAAAACAUCCAGUUACAAAGAAAGGUACAGUCUUUUGUAAGUUAUGCCACAUAGAUGUACAUAUACAUAGUGAGCUUAAAGCUUUGGUUCUAGGUUAGCCACAGGUUAGCCAUUGAUAAAGAAAUACCAAAACACCCUGAACUAGACAUCAAAGAGCUGUUCUCCUUCCUGGUGAGCUUGAAAUUCUUGAUUGGUUUGGCUCAAAAUAGACAGAUAGAUAAACAAAAAAGAUGAAUCAAAUUAUACAUGUUCACUUCAGUCAAGGAAAAAAUAGAUAAGACCAGGUAUAGUGGCAUACACCUAUAGUCCCAGGCUUGAGGGUUGCUCGAGCCCAGGAGUUUGAGGUCAGCCUGGGCAACAUAGUGAGAUCCUCUGGAGAAAAAAAAGAAAAGAAAACAGAUAUUUAGAAUCUCUUAACCCAAUUUUGGAGACCACCAAAUGCUCAUACAUUAAAACCAACUUCCUAAUCUUUUCUGACCCCGAUGGGAAAUAAUUUAUCAACCAUAAAAGGCGUACAUACAUAUACACACAGACGAUAGCAAGGAAAAUAAACUAGAGAAAUGGAGAGUUAUCAAAGUUAAAUUUCUAUUAUCACUUGGUGUUUAUCUCCAGGACCUAAGAAAAUAUGUGCCUGGACUCAAGUCACUUACUGGUUACAAUUUCCUGGCAAUGUAGUUUACUUGCCUCUGUCAGGUGAAUUCAUUGGGCGUCUUGGUAGAAGAUCUCCAAAAAGAUAAUUCUUAAAAAAGGUAAAAUAAUGACUCCAGUAUAUAUGUAAAAUGAACAGAUAUCUAAGAUUUUACUUAACCCAUUUAUUAAUGAAGGAACCAGUAAGCUAUCACAACCAGUUUCUUGUUUUCUAUAAUUAAAAUAUUAUAAAGCCAUUGUAUAAUGAUAUUACAAAGCCACUGUCAUCUUAUAAAGCCAUUGUAUAUGAUAUUAUAAAGCCAUUGUAUAUGAUAUUAUAAAGCCAUUUUCACAGGCAAAAAAUUGUAAGAAAAAAUAUUGUAGUGGUAUGUCAGGCAGUUAAAUGUUAUGGUAUUUGUUAACUUCAAACUUUUUUGCAUUGUUUUUAUGAAUACAAAUUUUGUACUCAAAAUUUUGUAUUAUUUUCUUUAAAUAACCCCUCUCCCUAAAUUGUAUAAGCUUUAGGCGUCACAAAACCUCCUAAAAAGAAGCAAGGCAAUCUGUGGAGGUGGAAGUAGAGAUGGGGGUCAGGGGCAGUAUGGUGCAGGUUCCUACUUCAGAAUUUAGAGAGUGAGAAAAGUUUGGAGUAAUGAUUGCAGAACUAGGCUGGAGAGUCACCAAGGAAAAGAGUGAAGUGGAGAGCUGUCAGGGGGUCCAGCUGAGGUUGCAUGGUGCAUUUUCAUUUUUUUUUUUUUUUUUUUUUUUGAGAUUGAAUCUAGCUCUGUCACCCAGUGGUGUGAUCUCGGCUCACUGCAACCUCCGUCUCCCAGGUUCAAGCCUUCCUCAGGCUCCCAAGUAGCUGGAACUAUAGGCAUGUGCCAUCAUACCUGGAUAAUUUUUGUAUUUUUGGUAGAGAUGGGGUUUCACUGUGUUGGUCAGGCUGGUCUCAAAAUCCUGAUCUCAAGUGAUCCACCUGCCUCGGCCUUUAAAAAUUCUGUGAUUACAGGAGUGAGCCACCUGGCCUGCAUCUUCAUUUUUUAUGUGAAGAACAUGGGGAAGGGAAUCUCUCCUAAAUACCAUGGUACCAUUUAGAUUUUGGGUGAGCAGUGAGGAUCAUUGUCAGAUUUAAGAUUUAAACAAUGGAUCUGACAGGUGAAGGAAUAGCUAACUUCUCUUGCAGAAUCUCAUUAACCCUUUGAUGACUUACUAACAUGUGAUCUCACUUUUCAUUGGGCCUUUGCCUUGUUCACCACUGAUUUAUCUCUUGUUGACACACCUGACCUUAUGGUGUUGGGAUUCAUACACAUGUAUGCAUAGCCUCCUCCAUGGGGACAGGUCUCUUUUCCCUCUUGGGGUAGGGUGAAGGCAGACUUACGAUCUGGCCUCAACUAGUGUUCUUAAUGCAAUCUCAGUAGUUGGGGAAGCUUCUCUUUGCUUGUGCAGUAUUUCAUUAAAUGUUUGGCCACAGAGCUGAAGUGUGGACGCUGGUGAGUGGAGAGGAAACUGUGGCCUGGCCUUUGCUUUGGGGCAGGGCUUUCCCUAAUUUCUAGGAAACUAACACUGUGGAUGGCCAAGUGGAUGAGUAGUCUCUGAAAUCAGUGGGGAGUUGCUGCUUCAACAUUGCAACCAAUGAAUGCUGAUGGCCAAACUCACAAUCCACCCUAAUACUAACACAUCACUCAAGAAGGUAAACUGACUAAUUAGGAUAGCUGGGGCACAGGAGAAAUUUUAUAAAUGUUGAUUAAUUUGAGGCUUCCUUCCAAUUCUUUUUGUAAUAUCUUGUUGUUUUCUUUACUAGAGAGUGCAGAACAUAAGCUACUCUCCUCAGUAAACACAGGCCCAUGAUAACUUGACAGAAAAGGAGUGGAGGAUGUGAACUGGAUAGAUAUGGGAUAAAGUAAUAAAAGGGUCUUUGAAUAGAGGUGGGGGGAUGUUUGUAUCUGGGAGCAAACCUCUAUUAAAGUAGACACAGAGAUCAGAAGCAACCAAGUCAAAGCUGCUUCCCACCAAGCUGUGUGGUCCUGGAUGGAUUAAUAUACAUCUACAAAGAAAAAUAUCCUCUCAUCUACUAUUUGGAAAGCAAUGUUACUAAAAUGAAAAUUAGAAUUUUCUGGCUUUGGUAAUAACCCUUCCUCUAAAGACAACUAUAAAGCUGGGAAGGAAAAGUAGUCUUAAAAGGAACAAUAAGGAAAAACAACAGUAAAGAAUUAUGAAAUUGUGGUCAGCUUGAGAAAGAUAGGCAGCUUCAGUGGCUUCUUCCCUGAGGGCGUUCAAAGACUAGGGCUAGGUUACACUUUUGGCAGGUUAGUGUAGGAAGGAGAUACAAGUUGGAGGCAGGAGGUUAAGACCUUGAGGGUUUCACCAUUUAAAAAUAUUUUUAUGCUGGGUAAAUAUUCCUAUUCCAGGGAAAAGGAUGAAAGGUAGAGUCACACACUACCUUGGUAGGGACAAGGAUAAGAGUCCAGUGCCUGUUAAUGAUGAGAAAAUUGUUGAAACACUCCCUGCUCAGGACUCAGACCUCAAAGGAAUACUGCUUUGUGUCUAAUGUUUAUGUCCCUUUCCCAAUUUAUGUGUUGAAAUCUUGACUCCAAAUCCAUCACAUUUGAUGAUAUUGGAAGGUGGGUGUAUUAGUUCAUUCUUGCAUUGCUAUAAAGAAAUACCCAAGAGUGGUUAACUUAUAAAGAAAAGAGGCUUAAUUGGCUCACAGUUCUGCAGGCUAUACAAGAAGCAUGAUGCUGGCAUCUGCUUGGCUUCUGGGGAGACCUCAGAAAACUUACAAUCAUGACAGAAGGCAAAGGGGGAGCAGGAGCAAGAGAGCAUGAGGGGGAGGUGCUACACACUUUUAAACAAGCAGAUCCCACAGUAAUUCACUCACUAUAAUGAGACCAGUUCCAAGAGGUUGGUGGUAAAUCAUUCAUGAGAAACCAACCCCAGAUUCAAUCAUCUCCCACCAGGUCCCAUCACUGACAUUGGAGGUUACAAUUUGACAUAAGAUUUGGAUGGGUACAAAGAUCCAGACCGUAUCAGUGAAGCUGUUGGGAGAUAAUUAGGUCAUAAGGAUGGAGCCCUCAGGAAAGGGAUUAAUGCCCUUAUGAGAAGUUUGCUCUCUCCCUGCUCUCUACCAUGUGAAGACAAGUAGGAAGAUGGCUAUCAGCAAACCAGGAAGAGUGCCUUCAUCAGACUCUGGAUCUAUCAGAACCUUGACCUGGAUUGUUUUAGCCUCAAGAACUGUGAGAAAUAAAUAAUUGUUGUUUAAGCCACCUAGUCUAUGGGUAAUUUGUUAUAGCAGUCCAAAUUGACUUAGACAUGUGCCCUGGGUAUGAGGAUAGGGAUUAUAUCUUGGUAUGUCAUCUUGGUAUGUCAUCUUGGUGACUCAGAAAACCUUGGGUCUCAUCAGGUACCUGGUAGAAGGGAAAAAAGUCUCUCUGAAGGAAAAUAAGACCAUCUAAGGCUUCAAACUGUUUCUAUUAAUAAGUUAAAAAUGGUCUGAAAACUAUGAAAAACAAUGAGAUACAACAAGAGAUAAAACAACGUAAACCAGAACCAAGAGAACUACCAACAAGUAGUUCAAAAGAGACAUCAGAUACUGAAAUAAAGCUGGGUGUGGUGGCUCAUGCUUUUAAUCUCAGCACUUUGAGAGGCCGAGGUGGAUGGAUCACCUGAGGUCAGGAGUUCAAGACUAGCUUAGGCAACAUGAUGAAACUGUCUCUACUAAAAAUACAAAAUUGUCCAGGUAUGUUGGUACAUGCCUGUAAUCCUAGCUAUUUGGGAGGCUGAGGUAGGAGAAUCACUUGAACCUGGGAAGUGGAGGUUGCAGUGAGUCAAGAUCAUGCCAGUGCACUCCAGCCUAGGCAAUUAAGUGAGACUCAAUUUCAAAUAAAUAAAUAAAAGAUACUGAAAUUAUCCAAUAUAAAUUGCAGAACCACUAUGCUUACUACAUUCAUAGAGAUAAAAUCAGAGCUUAAAAAUCUCAGCAGGAAGCUAGGUACUAUAGAAUGACACUAAAUGUUUUCCUCCUAAUACCAGGAACUAGAAAAGGAUAUAUGCUGUUGUCCCUUCUAUUUAACAUUGUACUAGAGGUUCUACCCAGGCAAUUAGGAUAAAUAAAAAAAUAAACCAGAUGAAACAAAAGAAAACCCCUCCUGUUCACAAAUUGGAAUACUUAAUAUUGUUAAGAUGGUAAUACUUCUUAACAACAUUGCAGCUAUUUUUAUUUUUGCAGAAAUGAACAAGCUGAUCCUAAAAUUUAUAUGGAAAUGCAAGAGAUCCAGAAUAUACAGACCAAUCUUGAAAAAGAAAAAAGUUAGAGAGCUAUCACUUCCUGAUUUUAAAACAUACUACACAACUACAGUAAUCAAGACACUGUUGUACUGGCACAAAGAUAGACAAGUAGAUCAAUAGAAUAGAAUUGACAAUACAUAAAAAAUACUUUAUGGUAAAUCGGUUUUCGAUAAGGGUGUCAAGACAAUUCAUUGGUGAAAAAUAGUCUUUUUAAAAAAGACUAUUGCUGGGACAAUUGGAUAUCCACAUGCAAAAAAUGAAUUUGAGACAAAGAUCUCACUUUGUUGCCCAGGCUGAUCUUGAACUCCUGGCCUUGAACAAUCCUCCUGCCUUGGCCUCCAAAAGUGCUGGGAUCACAGGUGUAAAUCACACCUGGACUCUUUUCUCAUUCUUAAUAAACUUACUUUUCUGCCUAAUUUUGUAUUCAGAAUUCUAUAUUCUUUUGCUUAUCUUCAUCACAGUUUUUGAUUCUUCCUAGUACUUACCGUGAUUUAAAAUUAUUUUGUUGUUAUUAUUUGCUUUCUUUUUUAGGGGAGUGGGUGAGAACUUACUUUCAUUUUAGAAUGUAAGCCUUCUGAAAGCACUGAAAAUGUAUUGCUUACCAUUCUAUUUCCAGAACUUAUAAAAAUGUUGGAUGAAUAAAUGUAGAGGAGUGAAUAAAGAAUAAUGGAGAAAGGGGGACUAUGGAACUAGCACACAUGUUCUCAGGGCAGGUAUAAACGGGUGAUGAAUCUGGGGCCAAAGUAAAAGGCAUAGACUUAGAUAAAGGGUGACUCCAGGCAGGGAAAUAAGAUAGUCAUUAAGAUUCAGAGGGGGGAUGACCCCAUGCUCAGGGCAGAUUUUGGGCAGCACAGAGGGAACAAGAGAAGUGGGAUGAGCCUCAUGCAGGGGCCAAUUGUGACUGCCUAAGGCUAGUGCUGUUUUCCCAUAAGUGGAUAUUUCCAUUCCCAGCCUCUGAAGUGAUGAGAAUCAUGUUCUGAAAACUCACUAAAAGCAAAGCCCUUCUAUUUUUUCCAGCACUAGCUUUUGCCUGAAGUCAUUACCUAUAAAAGACAGCAUGUGGACAUGAUAUUUUUAAGGACUUUUCUGGUUUUAACAUUUUAUUUUUUUCUGGCUUUUUUUUUUUCCCUCAGACCUUUGUUCUCUGAAUCAUGUAAGCUGGAAAUCUGUCAUUCUUGAUGUUCCCUCUGUCCCUUCACUUUUCCAAAGUUUUAUUGAUAAAUCUUUCUGUUUCCUCUUAUUGAUUCCAAUUUUAGUCUCCAUGUUUCAGAAUUAAUCAACUCCUACUUUUAAGUAAUCUAUCUGGUUCUAGUGCAGUCUCCUCCUCACUUUCCUGGUGUUUGGUUUAUCUUUCAAGUCCCCGUCUUGUUCCUCAUCCGAGUAUUAAAACACAUUUAAGACUAUCCCAAUGUCUCAGAAUAGAGUCUGAAUUCUCUUAUUGGUCCUUUUUUUGAUAGUAAUUUUUCUGGGUUAACUAUUUGUGUAUAUUUAUGUGGUACAUGGGAUAUUUUGAUACAGGUAUGCCAUGCAUAAUAAUCACACCAUGGAGAAUGGGGUGUGCAUCCACUCAAGCAUUUAUCUUUUGUGUUAUAAACAAUCCAAUUAUGUUCUUUUCAUUAUUUUAAAAUGUACAAUUAUUAUUGACUAUAGUCAUCCUGUUGUGCCGAUUCAUUCUUUCUAUUUUUCAUUCAUUCUUCCUGAAGUUAUAUAUUGACUAUAGUCAUCCUGUUGUGCUAUUAUUCAUUCUUUAUAUUGUUUUGUACCCAUUGACCAUGCCCACUUCUCCCCCAAGCCCCCACUACUCUUCUCAGCCUCUGUUAACCAUCCUUCUACUCUCUAUCUCCAAGAGUACAAUUGUUUUGAUUUUUAUAUUCCACAAAUAAUUCUCUGCUUGAUCUUGAAGGGCUCCCGGAUUUCUGUCUCAAUCUACCAUCCAGCUUUAUCUCCUACUACUUCCCUGAAAAAAAACUUCUGCUCCCUCAAACUGGUUUAGAGGGCUAAAAUCAUCAAAAGUAUGGCAAUCAAAAGGAUCACACGAAGUUCUUUCCUCCUUGUAAUGCCCUAUUCAUCAUCUCCUAUCAGGGAUCUUAUAUUAGUCCGUUCUUGCACUGCUAUAAAGAAAAAACUGAGACUGGGUAAUUUAUAAAGAAAAAAGGUUAAAUUGGCUCCUAAUAGGCUGUAUGUACAGGAUGCAUGACAGCUUCUGGGGAGACCUCAGGAAACUUUCAAUUAUGGUGGAAAGCAAAGGGAAAGCAGGCAUGUCUUACAUGACUGGAACAGGAGAAAGAGAGAGAGCAGGGAGGUAUCACACACUUUUUAAACAACUAGAUCUUAUGAGAACUCCCUCACUAUCAGCAUCUGUGAUUUGAUUUAUCACCUCCCACAAGGCCCCACCUCCAAUAUUGGGAAUAACAAUUAGGCACGAGAAUUGAGUCAGGGCACAGAUGCAAACCAUAUUAUUACUCCUCUGACAUCUCCCAAAUCUCAUGUCCUCUUACAUUGCAAAAUACAAUCAUGCCUUUCCAAUAGUUCUCCAAAGUCUUAAUUCAUUCCAGCAUUAACUCAAAAGUCCAAAGUUUCAUCUGAGACAAGCCUAGUCUCUUCUGCCUAUGAGCCUGUAAAAUAAAAAACAACUUAGUUACUUCCAGGAUACAAAGGAAGUAUAGGCAUUGGGUAAAUACUUCUAUUCCGAAAGGAUAAAUUGGCCAAAACAAAGGAGCUACAGGCCCCAUGCAGUUCAAAACUCAACAGGGCAGUCAUUAAAUCUUAAAGCUCCAAAAUAAUCUACUUUGAGUUUGUGUCUCACAUUCAGGGCACAGCGAUGCAAGGGGUGGGCUCCUGAAACCUUGGGCAGCUCCUUCCCUGAGGCUUUGCAGGGUGUAGCCCUCAUAGCUGCUUGCAUAGGCUGGUGUUGGGUGCCUGCCACUUUUCCAGGUACAUGGUGCAAGCUGUCAGUGAAUCUACCAUUCUGGCAUCCUGAUCUGGAAGAUGGUGGCACUCUUUUCACAGCUUCACUAGGCAGUGCCCCAAUGGGGACUGUGUGUUGGGAUUCCAACCCUUCAUUUCCCCUCCAUACUGCCCUAGUAGAGGUUCUCUAUGAGGGUCUUCACCUGUAGCAGCCUUCUGCCUUGAUGUCUAGGCUUUUCCAUACAUCCCCUGAAAUCUAGGUGGAGGAUCCCAAGCCUCAACUCUCAUACUCUGUGCAUCUGCAGGCUUAACACCAUGUGAAAGCUGCCAAGGCUUACAGUUUGCACUCUCUGAAGCAGUGGCCCAAGCUCUACCUUGGCCCCUUUUAGCCACAGCUGGAGGUGGAGUGGCUGGGAUGUAGGGCACCAUGUCCUGAGGCUGCACAGAGCAGCGGGGCUCUGGGCAUGGCUCACAAAACCAUGAUUUCCUCUUAGACCUCCAGGCCUGUGAUGAGAAAAGCUGCUGCAGAGGUCUUUGAAAUGAAUGCCUUUGAGGUCUUUCCCCAUUGGCUUGGCUAUUAACAGUAGACUCCUCUUUACUUAUGCAAAUGUUUGCAGCCUGCUUGAAUUCCUCUCCUGAAAAUGGGUUUUUCUUUUCUAUUGCAUGGUCAAGCUGCAAAUUUUCCAAACUUUUUUUUUUUUUGAGACAGAGUUUCGCUCUUGUUACCCAGGCUGGAGUGCAAUGGCGCAAUAUCGGCUCACCGCAACCUCUGCCUCCUGGGUUCAAGCAAUUCUCCUGCCUCAGCCUCCUGAGUAGCUGGGAUUACAGGCACGCACCACCAUGCCCAGCUAAUUUUUUGUAUCUUUAGUAGAGACGGGUUUCACCAUGUUGACCAGGAUGGUCUCGAUCUCUUGACCUCGUGAUCCACCCGCCUCGGCCUCCCAAAGUGCUGGGAUUACAGGCUUGAGCCAUCGCGCCUGGCCAUAAAUUUUCCAAACUUUUAUGUUCUGCUUCCCUUUUAAAUAUUAGUUCCAGUUUUAGAUAGUUUCUUUGCUCAUGCAUAUAAGCAUAGACUUUCAGAAGCAGUCAGGCCACAUUUUGAACACUUUGCUGCUUAAAAAUUUCUUUUGCCAGAUACCCUAAAUCUUCUCUCUCAAGUUCAGAGUUCCACAGAUCCUUAGAGCAGGGGCAUAAUGCUGCCAGUGUCUUUGCUAAAGCAUAGCAAGAGUGACCUUUACUCCAGUUCCCAAUAAGUUUCUCAUUUCCCUCUGAGACCAUCUCAGUCUGGACUUCACUAUCCAUAUCACUGUUAGCAGUUUGUUCACAACCAUUCAACAAGUUUCUAAGAAGUUCCAAACUUUUUCUUAUUUUCCUGUCUUCUUUUGACCCCUUCAAACUCUUUCAACCUCUACCCAUUACUGUUUCAAAGCUGCUUCUACAUUUUCUGGAAUCUUUAUAGCAAUGUUCCACUCCUGUAUCAAUUUUCUGCAUUGGUUUAUUCUUUCACUGCUAUAAGGAAAUAUUUGAGAGUGGGAAUUUUAUAAAGAAAAGAGGUUUAAUUGGCUUACAGUUCUGCAGGCUGUAUAGGAAGCAUCAUGGCUUCUGGCGAGGCCUCAGGAAACCUUCAAUUAUGGCAAAAGGCAAGGGGAAAGCAAGCACAUAUUACAUGGCUGGAGCAGGAGAAAGAGGGAUGUGGGGAGGUACCAUAUACUUUUAAACAACCAGAUCUUGAGAGAACUCACUUGCUAUCGUGAAAAGAACACCCAGGGGGAAAUAUUGUGCCCAUGAUCUAAUCACAUCUUACCAGGUCAUAACUCAUAGCAUUGAGAAUUACAAUCCAACAAGAGAUUUGAGUGAGGACACAGAUUCAAACCAUAUCAUAUCUUUUAAAUCUUACUUUCUAAAAUAAUACAUGGCCUCCUGCAUGCUGAUGUGGCAUCAAUUAUUUAUAUAGUGCUUGACAUAAGUUACCUUCUUUUAUUUACAAUUCCCUGACCUCAAGUUCUUCUAUAACAUAAAGCAAUUAGUAGAGAUAAUUUUUAAGUUUCCCUCUAACCAUAACAGUCUAUAGUGUGCUAAUUUCCUUGUGUGUAUGUACACACACACACACACACACACACACACACACAGAGAUUAGCAAACUAUAUAUAUAUAUAUAUAUAUAUAUCUUUUCUCUCCAUUUUGAUUGCAAUGUCUUUCAAUUUACCACAUUUUAUUGAAAUUAUACUAUACGUCCACAUUUGUGUUAGGCUCUGUUAGGUAGUGCAAAAAUGAGUAAGAGAGAGUUCUGUAUUCCCAGAGGCUUAUAAUUAUAUAUAAGAAUGGGGGUGGGGAAGACAGAAAGAAAGCAGAGAUAGAUUUACUCACACAAAACUAUUAUAUCAGACAAAUUAAGAGGGUUAUAUUGAAGAAUUACAAGGUAGGAAGAAGGAGGAGAGAGUGAGAGGUUAAUUUUGACUGGGAACAUCUGGAGAGAUGUGAUGGAGCUGAAUUUUGGUUGCUGUGUAAGGCUUUAAAAGUAGACAUGGAGUUUUGAGGAAGGAAGGUGAAGAAAAGAUGAUGAUAAUAAGGGUAUAAGCAUAAAGCAGAAGAAUACAGGGAGGGUCCCAGAAAUGGUAUGGACUCCACUAUGGCCAAAAUGCAGAGGACAUGGAGAAUUAAUUGUCUGAGAUUAGAUUGUUAAAGACCCUGUAUCAUAGGCUAAGUCAUUUGGAUUUUAUUUGUUGCAGCAUUAUUGAAGAUUUAUUGAACAGCACCAUGAUGUAAGUAUUACUGCCUGUUGGCAAAGUGAAGAGAAAAGAUUAAACAGAAGUAUAUAAGCUUGGAAGGGAGACAGGGUCAAGACGCAUGCACACACACAUUUAUUGGUCCUGGAUUUGCCUUUCUGACUCUGAGUGAGAGUGGAGGUGUGUUGGGUAGAGAAACAUGGUGAUAGAGAAUUCCAUGGGGUGCCACUCUCUACAUGGUGGAAAAGGUGGUGGGAGGCCCACCUGAUCCAUUCUUCUACCAGGGUGCUGUAGCACAGAGGCAUUUCCAGAUCUCCUGCUUUUGACAACCUCUCCAAUAAUCCAGGGCUCUCAGGGACUCAACACUUCUGGAACUAAUAGAAAGGAGGUGAGAUUUAAAAUUUAUCUGAUAUAUUGAGGAGUGUGUGUAUGUGUGAGUGUGUGUGUGUGUGUGUGUAGGAAAAUUCAAUCGACAGGAGUUGGAAGGUCUCUUCUUUUGUCUUUUGAAUGUUCCUGUUAUGUUUCUGUCUCUUGGAUGACUUUGAUUAAUUCUCUGGUUCUUGUUUUGCUGCCCACCUCCAAAGUGUUCCACCAUCAGCCUCUUCUCUUCCUGUUUCAAAUGUUUUGUUUGGUGGCCUCCAUGGUUUUGAUUUAAAUUUAUAGAGUGAUGAACCUAGAUCUUUAUCUUUAGAUAAAAACCAGAGCUAGAGGCUUUCAAACAUAAGGAUUUCUUCUGAGACUGAAAUUAAUAACAGUAAAAAAAUUAGUUCUUUAGAAAAUGACGUUGAAAUGUCAGCACGAUGGUAGAAUAAGAGGUUCCAGCCCUCAUCCCCUGACAGAAACACUGAUUUGACAACCAUCUGCAGAUGAAAAUACCUUGUGGGAGCUCUGCAACCCAGUUGAGAGGUUCCAGAGCUCCAGUUAAUCACAAAACCUGAGAUCAGCAGGUUGAAAAGAGUAGGAAGAGUAGUUUCACUUUGCCCAUAUCAUGCCAAAGACUGCCUCUGGCACAUAACUUCACCCUCAGGUGAAGAAGAAAAUAAAGUGAAGGUCUGGAUUCCCCAAUAGAGAUGCCUGUUUCUGUCAUUUCCAGACUGCUAAGACAAUCAGUACAGCUGGGUCAUCUAUGGAGAGCAAAGACAAAGAAAACAGCCAGGGCUCCCAGCAAGCAGCAUGUGUGUCACUGCAGACGCAUCCUGUGUACUUCCGCAGACAAGCUCCUACAUGCCUCCAUAGCUGAUGUCUUGUGUGACCCCACAGAUAGAACCCUGUAUACUCCUGUAGAUGGUGCCGCACAGCUAGCACUGUGCUCCCCAAGAAGUCACUCAGUGCAUCCACACAUAUAGCACUCAAUGCAUUCCUGAACUUUGUAUCCUGUGCAUCCUCAAAGUUGGCAUUUUGUGUGCCCUCAAAGCCAGCACCUAUUGCACUUCUGCAGCCAGCAUCCUACAUGCCCCCAUGAAUGGUCCUCUAUUUGCCUCUGCAUCUGGUGCUCCAUGUGUCCCUGUAGAGGGAUCUCAGAAGCUAGAAGUAUCUUAGCAACAGGUUUGACAUAGGUGUCAUGCUUCUCUGAUUAUUCAUGAUUCUUGUAGCCUUACAUUGAUGCUUCCCUCUUGAAGAAGCAGUUACCUCUUCCAGCCUUUACAGACAAACUGAAUUAAAAAAGGAAUGACCUUCAUGAGACAACCUGGCUACAGAUUCUAGAGGUCUCUCAAAUCUCAAUGGAUGUACCCCCUAUACUGUUUUUGCUCCCUAUUAAGGAGAGAUAAGGCUUAUGUUUGCACGCUUUUUCUUAAUCCCACAAUGUCAUGUUAGGUGCUAAGAGUCAUCCAUUUCUUUUCCCUAGGGUAGUACCCUUAUAUGCCAAGACACUAGAUGAAAGCUCUGUUUCUCUCCUUCUCCAGCAAAGGGGAUGUUUCAAAAUUGCAUGCCUUCCCUAAAUCCUGCAGUCGAGUCUGGCUUCAGGGGCACCUAAAGUGUGCCAUUUUAUUGGCCCUUUUAUUGUUAUAUAGUGAUCACGAAACUCCCGGAACUGACAACCCCCACCCCAUCAAAUGAAAUCUAUAAAUGUCCUGAGAAUUCAAAAUAUCAUCCUAAAGAAACUUAGUAAGCUAUAAGAGAACAACUAUAUAGAUGACUAAAUCAAAUUAGGAAAAAAUACAUGAACAAAACAAGAAGUUCAAUAAAGAGAUAGAAACCGUAAAAAAGAGCUGAACAAAUUUUGGAGCUAAAGAAUACAAUGACCAAAUAGAAAAAUUCAGUAGAGAGCUUCAAUAGCAGACUGAUCUAGUAAAAGAAAGAAUCAGCUAACUUUCUUAAAGACAGGUGAUUUGAAAUUAUCCAAUCAGAGGGGCAAAAAAAAAAAAAAAAAGAAUAAAAAGUAGCAAUGAAAGCUCACAGGACUUAUGGGACACCACAAAGCAAACCAAUUGCACAUUAUGGGAAUAUCAGAGAAAAGAAAGUGAAAGGGGAAGAAGGCUCAUUUAAACAAAUAAUGCCUGAAAAAUUUCCAAAUCUAGGGAGGGAAAUGGACAUCCAAAUUCAUGAAGCUCUAAUGACCCAAAUAGGUUGAACCUUAAGAAAUCUACACCAAGAGACAUUGUACUUAAAUUAUCAAAAGUUAAAGACAGAAUUUUGAAAACAUCAAAAGUGACUCAUCACGUACAAGAAAAUCUCAUAAGAAUACUGAUGAGGUGCCAAAGUUCAGCCGGCUGCCGCUCGAGUAGCCACGGGCGCGAUCCCAACCAGAAGUCUCCUCCAUGACCACUUUGGAAGCUGGGGGAAGAUGUUAAUGGUGACAUCAAUAGCAUAAAAUGUGGAUGAGGGACACAAGUAGUUUUUGUACAUGAAUGAAUGAAAGAUGUCAUCAGCUUAAAAUGACAGCUCCCAGCCGACUACCAGAAAUUACCCUGAGCUCAACAACAAUCAGUACAACAGAAGCAGCAACAGCAAUGGGGGCAACCUGAACAGCCCCCGGGCCCCCAAAGCGCCAAGACAGCGGAGCACAGCACCAUCCUUCAACCCCCCUACACUGGGCUUUCUUCUUCAGCAAGAUUGCUGAGCCAUUCUAUCCCUUCCCUUUAGCCUGAAUCUGUUCAUAACUAAGGCCUUGCUGCUCCAGUGAAAGCUGUUCUUCUCUUAGACACAGUUUCUUCAUCUGGACGAGCAGUGGAGGGGAAAGCAACUUUGUGCUGGAAGAAUAUCUCUGCCUUCUUACCUUAACUUAAAGAGAGCACUUAGAUAACACCUUCAAGAGACAUGAAAACAGAAAACUGGUUAAUGACUACUAUAAGUGCACUGAAACUAUGUUUAUGGAGAUUUCCAUACUUUUAAAGACAGUUUUAAUGUUGAAUUUGGUAUUUUGAAAGGUUAUUUUUAAUGUAUUUUGGUAAUACAAUUUACAUGUACAGUGUUACAUUAUAUAUGUAUUGUGAACUUUAAAAGACUAUUUUGCUAAAUUUAUAAAUAUAUAAAAUUAUGUAAAAACUAGACUAUAUUUUGAUUUAGAUUUUCCUGUUUGCUGCCAAAAAUUUUUAUUUUAAAUCUAUUUAGUUUUAGUAUGGUUUUGUCUCUAAUGAAUAAAUAAUUCCUUCUUAUUAAGAAAAAGUAAGGGAGAAAGGUUUUAGAAAGUGAUUUUUAUGCUCCCACUAUAAAUACAGCAAAUCAGUUCAUUCUUUUGUUAAGUCAGUCUAAUUUAACUGAGUUUAUUGGAAUUUAUCUCCAUUAUCUCCAUAAUGGUGUGGGAUGGCUGAUUUAGGACAAUUCCCUUUCCCAUUGUUUUUGUUGCUGAGCCUGUUAGAGUUAGUUUUGCAUCCAAGGGGGCUUUAAGAAACUUAGCAUGCAGUGGAAGAUCAGAAUUCACUGAAUAUUUCUUUUGAGAGCAUGGUUUUUCUCUGUGAAAUGACUCAAUAUUCCAAAUGUUUUUCUUUCCUUCCUCCUUUCAAAAGAGUUCUUUUUUUAAAAUUUUUUAUUGCAUUUUAGGUUUUGGGGUACAUGAGCUGAACAUGCAAGACAGUUGCGUAGGUACACACAUGGCAGUGUGUUUUGCUUCCUUUCUCCCCUUCACCCACAUUUGGCAUUUCUCCCCAGGCUAUCCCUCCCCACCUCCCCCUCCCACUGGCCCUCCCCUUUUCCCCCCAAUAGACCCCAGUGUUUAGUACUCCCCUCCCUGUGUCCAUGUGUUCUCAUUUUUCAUCACCCACCUAUGAGUGAGAAUAUGCGGUGUUUCAUUUUCUGUUCUUGUGUCAGUUUGCUGAGGAUGGCGUUCUCCAGAUUCAUCCAUGUCCCUACAAACGACUCACACUCAUCAUUUCUGAUUGCUGCAUAAUAUUCCAUGGUGUAUAUGUGCCACAUUUUUCCAAUCCAGUUUAUUAUCAGUGGGCAUUUGGGUUGAUUCCAGGUCUUUGCUAUUGUAAACAGUGCUGCAAUGAACAUUUGUGUACAUGUGUCCUUAUAGUAGAAUGAUUUAUAGUCCUUUGGAUAUAUACCCAGUAAUGGGAUUGCUGGGUCAAAUGGAAUUUCUAUUUCUAAGGCCUUGAGGAAUUGCCACACUGUCUUCCACAAUGGUUGAACUAAUUUACACUCCCACCAACAGUGUAAAAAUGUUCCUUUUUCUCCACAUCCUCUCCAGCAUCUGUUGUCUCCAGAUUUUUUAAUGAUCGCCAUUCUAACUGGCGUGAGAUGGUAUCUCAAUGUGGUUUUGAUUUGCAUCUCUCUGAUCACCAGUGACGAUGAGCAUUUUUUCAUAUGAUUGUUGGCCUCAUAUAUGUCUUCUUUCGUAAAGUGUCUGUUCAUAUCCUUUGCCCACUUUUGAAUGGGCUUGUUUGUUUUUUCCUGUAAAUCUGUUUGAGUUCUUUGUAAAUUCUGGAUAUCAGCCCUUUGUCAGAUGGGUCAACUGCAAACAUUUUUUCCCAUUCUGUUGGUUGCCGAUUCACUCUAGUGACUGUUUCUUUUGCCGUGCAGAAGCUGUGGAGUUUCAUUAGGUCCCAUUUGUCUAUUUUGGCUUUUGUUGCCAAUGCUUUUGGUGUUUUGUUCAUGAAGUCCUUGCCUACUCCUAUGUCCUGGAUAGUUUUGCCUAGAUUUCCUUCUAGGAUUUUUAUGGUGCCAGGUCUUAUGUUUAAGUCUUUAAUCCAUCUGGAGUUAAUUUUAGUGUAAGGUGUCAGGAAGAGGUCCAGUUUCUGCUUUCUGCACAUGGCUAGCCAGUCUUCCCAACACCAUUUGUUAAACAGGGAAUCCUUUCCCCAUUUCAAAAGAGUUCUUAAUCCAAUUAGAAUAUCCUGCUUUGGGUAUGAGGUUGUUGUGGCCUGUAAUCACCCAUGGUUUGACACCAAUUUUAAGUCAAUGGAGAGAAAAAACUGAAAGAGAUGCUGCUAAGUAGUUCUCUAUAUUAAAGGAGAUAUUUUUAAAACAGGGUACAACCCGCUACUAGCAUAUCUGGAACCUAAUAUGAAAAUGAAAGGACCCUUAUAGGUACUCACAGCCCUUUCAUGUAAGUAUGAUGUGAUAUAUUUAGGUCUUCAGAAGCCUGUAGGUUUCAUUUCUGUGAGGAAUCGAGAAGCCUUAGGUCCUGAUAUCCUUCCAGGCUGCUUAAGGAUGGACUGCUUUGACACUGAAAGUGCUAGUUAAACGGAUUCAUAUGAAGUGCUUUACUCCCAACCAUUGAGUUAUUUAUAAUGUAUUUAUUGGGGGGUACCUUGAAUCUAUUAUGUGUACUUCAUCAAAACAUCUUGUUCAUGUUUUAUGUUUUUAAAAAGGCAUUUGAAUGAAUGUUUGACUCAGGUUUGUUAAAUUAACCUUCAAUAACUGCAGUACCAAAAAUUAUACCCAACUGCUGAAAGAAAUGAAUUGUAUGAUUUAAGAAUCAAAAGCUAAAAUAAGAAUUAUGUAUCUUUUCUAAAGUUGAAAAAAUAAAAUAUUUUAUUAUGUGUUAUUAUAAAAAUUGGUUGAUUGUAUAGGAAGAUGAUAGUUUUUUUCAAGUUAUCAUAAAAAGUAAUUCAGAUGAUAUUUGAAAAGUAGGGGAAAGGGAACCAUGUUGACAGUUUUAAUUCUGUGAAAAUACUAAUUUGUGUGAAGCUAUUAAAAUGAUUGUAAAGUUGACUACUGUAAAUGUUCUAUAAUUAUGUGUGUAUAUAUGUCAUAUGUAUGUACAUGUGUAUGUCUUAAAUUACUUUACACAUGUGCAUACAUAGAUACACCAAGAAAUGGAUGUAUAUAAUAUAGAAAGUAUAUAGCAAAGUAAUUUUACUCUGAUAAUAAAAAUUGUUUGACAUGUA